CCUACGGGAGGCAGCAGUCGAGAAUCUUUCACAAUGGGGGAAACCCUGAUGCUGCGACGCCGCGUGGGGGAAUGAAGGUUUUCGGUUUGUAACCCCUUGUCAUGUGGGAGCAAAUUACAAUGAUAGUCCCACAAGCGGCAGCUACGGCUAACCCUGUGCCAGCAGCCGCGGUAAUACUGAGGGCUCAAGCGUUGUUCGGAACCACUGGGCGUAAGGCGUGCGUAGGCUGGUUAGUAAGUCGUGUGUGAAAGGCGAGGGCUUAACCCGGGGAUUGCACAUGAUACUGUGAGACUAGAGUAAGGGAGAGGGAGCCGGAAUUCUCGGUGUAGGAGUGAAAUGCGUAGAGAUCGAGAGGAAUACUCAUGGCGAAGGCGGGUUCCUAGACAAUAACUGACGCUGAGGCACGAAGGCGAGGGGAGCGAAAGGGAUUAGAUACCCCAGUAGUC
rnacentral:rRNA from 1 species